rnacentral:tRNA from 1 species
GACGCGCUGGAAUUGCUAGCUUUUUCGCGGCGCAUCAGUUCCUUUUAAUCUGUAGGUCCUGGGUUCGAGUCCCAGCGCGCUCACCA